CUCUGUCUCCCAGGCUGGAGUGCAGUGGCGUGAUCUCGGCUCACUGCAACCUCCAUCUCCCAGGUUCAAGUGAUUCUCCUACCUCAGCCUCCUGAGUAGCUGGGAUUACAGGCAUGCACCACCACACCCAGCUAAUUUUGUAUCUUUAGUAGAGAUGGGGUUUCACCAUGUUCGUCAGGCUGAUCUCGAACUCCUGACCUCA
rnacentral:lncRNA from 1 species